rnacentral:rRNA from 1 species
AAUCAUUUGCCCUAUAAUUGAGGGCUAGUAUGAAUGGUUUGACAUGAGCAUAGCUGUCUCCUUAAAAUUUUAUAAAAUUUGGUUUUUAGGUGAAGAAACCUAAAUUAAAUUGAAAGACAAGAAGACCCUAUCGAGCUUUAGAAUAAUUAAUUAAAAAAUAUAAAUAAAACAAUUAAUUUUAAUUAAAAACUUUGGUUGGGGCGACUGAGGAACAUAUAAAGCUUCCUUAAUUAGACGACGCUGAUAAGCAAUGAUCCAGGAAAUCUGAUUAAAAAAAUUAGUUACCGUAGGGAUAACAGCAUAAUCUUUUUUGAGAGCUCUUAUCGAAAAAAAGGUUUGU